rnacentral:rRNA from 1 species
UCCGUAGGUGGAUAAUUAAGUCAGAGGUGAAAUCCUGCAGCUCAACUGUAGAAUUGCCUUUGAUACUGGUUAUCUUGAGUCAUUAUGAAGUGGUUAGAAUGUGUAGUGUAGCGGUGGAAUGCAUAGAUAUUACACAGAAUACCGAUUGCGAAGGCAGAUCACUAAUAAUGUACUGACACUGAGGGACGAAAGCGUGGGGAGCGAACAGGAUUAGAUACCCUGGUAGUCC